rnacentral:antisense_RNA from 1 species
AUUCCCAGUCACCCACUCACUCAGAAAGCCGGGAGUCAUCGGACACCUUGCUGGUCAGAGGUCCUGGGGGUGGUUUUGAACCAUCAGAGCUUGGACUUUUCUGACUUCCCCAGCAAGGAUCUUCCCACUUCCUGCUCCCUGUGUUCCCACCCUCCAGUGUUGGCACAGGCCCACCCCUGGCUCCACCAGAGCCAGAAGCAGAGGUAGAAUCAGGCGGGCCCCGGGCUGCACUCCGAGCAGUGUUCCUGGCCAUCUUUGCUACUUUCCUAGAGAACCCGGCUGUUGCCUUAAAUGUGUGAGAGGGACUUGGCCAAGGCAAAAGCUGGGGAGAUGCCAGUGACAACAUACAGUUCAUGACUAGGUUUAGGAAUUGGGCACUGAGAAAAUUCUCAAUAUUUCAGAGAGUCCUUCCCUUAUUUGGGACUCUUAACACGGUAUCCUCGCUAGUUGGUUUUAAGGGAAACACUCUGCUCCUGGGUGUGAGCAGAGGCUCUGGUCUUGCCCUGUGGUUUGACUCUCCUUAGAACCACCGCCCACCAGAAACAUAAAGGAUUAAAAUCACACUAAUAACCCCUGGAUGGUCAAUCUGAUAAUAGGAUCAGAUUUACGUCUACCCUAAUUCUUAACAUUGCAGCUUUCUCUCCAUCUGCAGAUUAUUCCCAGUCUCCCAGUAACACGUUUCUACCCAGAUCCUUUUUCAUUUCCUUAAGUUUUGAUCUCCGUCUUCCUGAUGAAGCAGGCAGAGCUCAGAGGAUCUUGGCAUCACCCACCAAAGUUAGCUGAAAGCAGGGCACUCCUGGAUAAAGCAGCUUCACUCAACUCUGGGGAAUGCUACCAUUUUUUUUCCAAAGUAGAAAGGAAGCACUUCUGAGCCAGUGACCACUGAAAGAAUUCAUCUCCUCCUGCUAGCAGCCGCGUCCUGGAGGAGCAGCGGAUGGGGAAUCCAUUCUGUUUCUUCCUGGUGUUUAGGAAGUUGCCCCACACACAGAUUGCCCCGAUGUCCAACCAGAAGAAGUGAAACUGCUGCUGGGUCUGGAGAGGUGAAGACCCGUGGCCAGCUUCUGUUGUUGCCAUCGGCCAUUGCUUUUUGUUCGCUUGCUUUUGGUUUUGCAAGAAGAGCGGCCUCUGUCUCUGAUCUGCUUCAAAUCAUCAUUCCAUCAGUGACAGAAGUGGCUGUUCCAUCAGUGGUCGCAGCCAGUUCAGCUCCUGCAUCCAUCCCCAAGUGUUCUAGUAAAACGACAAGGAAUAUCGGCCUGAAUUCUCUUCCCAAGAAGAAAGAAAGCACACCAACGCAGGCAUUUGUCUUCUGUCCAUGGUGCUGAAGUUUAUUCACUUUCAAACCACUUUCAGUAACAGCAAAUUCUUUAGAAAAGGAAAAUACAGGGAAAGGGAUAAACCUCACUGACUUGGAGGAAAUCAAGAGGAGUGAGCACAGCAUCAGAAAGCCCCCUGGCCCCAGACUGCACCCGCUUUCCUGGCCCUACCUUGAAAUCCAUCAGGUCUGCGUUGGACACGGCAUUGUACAUGGGAUUAGCUCUGG